UGCGGACCUUUUAAAAGCUUGCUUUUAAAAGGUUAGCGGCGGACGGGUGAGUAACACGUGGGCAACCUGCCUGUAAGAUCGGGAUAACGCCGGGAAACCGGGGCUAAUACCGGAUAGUUUUUUCCUCCGCAUGGAGGAAAAAGGAAAGACGGCUUUUGCUGUCACUUACAGAUGGGCCCGCGGCGCAUUAGCUAGUUGGUGGGGUAACGGCUCACCAAGGCAACGAUGCGUAGCCGACCUGAGAGGGUGAUCGGCCACAAUGGGACUGAGACACGGCCCAUACUCCUACGGGAGGCAGCAGUAGGGAAUCUUCCACAAUGGGCGCAAGCCUGAUGGAGCAACACCGCGUGAGUGAAGAAGGGUUUCGGCUCGUAAAGCUCUGUUGUUGAAGAAGAAUGUGCAAGAGAGUAACUGUUCUUGUAUUGACGGUAUUCAACCAGAAAGUCACGGCUAACUAC
rnacentral:rRNA from 1 species